AAGUCCUUUGGAAGGAGUGAUGUUUGAAUCCCACCAACCCCAAGAUAAGGAUUCUGAGUAUGCUUGCAUGUGAUUGAACACGCAAAGGCUCUCUGACCUUCCACUGGACUAA